rnacentral:lncRNA from 1 species
UAGCCGAAAAUCAAGUAUUAGGAAUUGGUCAACUUUGUAAACUUUCCCCAUCCAAAUAAAAAAGACCACACAUAUGCAAUCCAAAACACAUAGGCCAUAUCAAUAGAUAUCAAAGGCUCUUAAGGUAAACUUUUUCUCUCUGUAUUUUGUGUUUUGCUCUGUAUUUGCAUCAUUUCUAUUUGAUUUGGCAAAAGGAAAUAUCGAUUCUAUGACACAUUACAAAUGUUCUUUUAGUUAUACGAGCUUUUUAAUACAAGAUCCAUUAAAUAUAACAAAUGAGAUUGGUACAUAAAAGAGAAAUAUCUUUUUAGUUAUAUGAGCUUUUCCACAUAAGAUCAAUAUUAACACAGAAAAGGGAAGAUCUCAUCUAUUCUUUUUUUUUUUUAAUUUUUUUCUUCAAGAAAAGGUAAUUUCUUUUUUCUUAUGGAGAUUUAGAUCUCUUAUUGCUAAUAAGAUACUAGUUACAACAUCUACCAUAUCUUGGGUUCGUCAGCACCCAAUUCAUGUUGGCAUUGUGUUGGUUAGGUGCACGUCAUGAAUUCGAACACUAUGUACUAUUUAAGUGGAGAAACAUUGAUUGAUAGGCCCGUUAUCCACUGGAGCGUCAUUGGAUCUGGCCCUCGGGGAUUUCUCAGUUUAAAAAGAGAAAAAAAAAAUCUUUUGAUAACCCCAGUGGAAUUUUUUUUCUCAACUUGCUCAUAAAAGAAAUUAAAGUGCAGAAAAGAAGAUCAUAUAUCAAUCAACAAUUCUCAAAACCAAGCUAAUGAGAGUCGGUAAUAUGAAUUCUCUAUAUCCAUUCCAUUAUAUUUGAGCUAGUUUUUGAAGUUGAGUCAGACUGAAGUGCCAUAUCUUACAUAGUAUAGGAGCUAGGUCCGUUCUCGUUUGGCCCACGUAUUAUUGUGCACACUCCAGUUGGCGGUCUUUGGGGUGGGGGGUGGGGGGGGGAGUGGGGAGACUUAGAGUGGGUUAGGACUUAGGGUACUAUAUAUUGGUUGGGUAAUGGGCUGGUCGUCUCUUUAUAUAGACUUGGGCAAUCCUCCCCUCAUCAACUAGUUUUUAGGAUUGAGUUAGGCCUAAGUACCAUAUCUUAAACGAGUCAAUUACGUUAAAUAAAUGUUUUUGAAAACAAAUUUGAGGUUCUCUUGAGCCGACUUUACUGCAGGAAAUGCAAUUUUAGUAAAGGCCGGUAAUGCUGAAGUACCCCCGCUUCGUGUAUGUAAUGAAACUUUGAAACAAGUCCGUGAAAAGGCUGAGAAAUAAAAUAUCCAAAAUUUCCCAGAACUCACACUUAUUCUUCAAUGAGUGUAGUGUAACAAUUAAAAUUAAGUCUUUAAUCCAAACAGAAUGCAUAAAGAAGGUUUCCCAAAGCUUUUGAUACUCUUCUUAUGAAUCUUGUUCCCCUCCAGGCUCCAGCUGCAGAAAUAUGGAAAUAGUGUCGCAGGUAGCACUCAUUGAAAUAAGUUACACAUAAAGCAUCUAUUGCACAUUAUAACACCCCUUCUCGUCAGAUUGUCUUGAGUUAAACAUGCUUCAUUUAGCUUAUGUACUAUGCUAAUUAUAAAUCGCAUUCGUACAAGAAGUCCUCAAUCCAUCAGCUUCUGUCUUGGGGCAAAAAUGAUGUUCUUGGCUAAUGUUGUAGUAGUAUUUCAAAUUUUUACGACUCAAUCCCAACUAGGUUUGCUAUAUGAAUCCUCUGUAUCCAUUCUGUUGUUGUUCAGAAGAUUAAUUUUUUGAUGUUGAUUGUCAACUUAUCGCAACCUUCUUUCUUUAUUUGGGCUUCGAACCGACUAUGUUUUGUGAAACUUACAGGAGUGGAGUUUAUAUUGUGAAAUUAUAACAAAAUUUAUCAUAGCUGACAAUUGGUCAUACCUUUUUUUGAGAAUUCAGAAUAAAGAGCCCUUCAUUUUGCGUACUACUAAGUCAAUCAGAAUCCAGUAACUCCAGUCAUUAUAUGCCUUCGCUAAUACAGUAUAAUUUACUUAUUAUGUGCCUUUAAUAAUUCUAUUGAAUGUUUACUGUUAAGGUGAACCAUCAUGUUGUCGACAUCAAUGCUUUAUGGUCGUUUCCUUUCACAUAUAGUUACUGUUUCAAGCAGGAAUUUUUGGCCAUUUCUUGAAAAUAUUUUCUCCAAUGGCUGACCAUUCUUGAAAGUAUUAUGGUGAAUAAUUCGUGUAAGUGCUAUAGCGGGGCAAUGGUUCUCCUUGAGCCGAGGGUCUAGACUCUAGCGGAAGCAGCCUCUCUACCUGCACAAGGUAGGGGUAAGGUCCACGUACGUACGUACUACCCUCCCUACACCCCACUUGUGGGAUCACACUUGGUAUGUUGUUGUUGUUGUUGUUGCUGUAGCAGGACAAUAGAACAUUAAGAGACGAGUAUUAUUGCUUUGGGGCAUCAACUAACUACUAGCUUUUGAGAAAGUACUUCUGAUGGUUAUCAUUCAUCACGUCUCUUUAAACUUGGCCUCUCUACCCCAGGGUAGGGGUAAGGUCUGCGUAUACACUACCCUCCCCGAAACUAUAGUGGAUUGUUGUAUGCCUCUUUAAACUUGAAAGAACCAAAUUUAAGCUUAUAGCGUUAAACUGGAUAGCAGCCUCUCUACCUUCCUUCCUCUCCAGACUCCACUUAUGGGAUUACACAGGUUUUUUUGUUGUUGUUGUUGUCGUAGCUUUAAAGUGGAUGUUACGUUUAGAAAAUGUAUGAACCAACUAGUUGUUUCAGAUUUCAGGUGGAAGGAUUUACAGUUUUAUGGCAAAUAGAUCACUUGGAGAGGAGGCUCCUUUCGAGGUGGCACGUGAAUUGCUCAUCGCUUUAUCUAACUUGUUACCAGAUAUAGUUCUCGUGGACAAUUCUUGCAGCUCAAACGGAACUAUAGUGGCUUCAAGGGACGGAACUGAGGAUUUCAGGUCGGAAUUAAUGUCCAUUUCUCGUACUCAAUCUUCAGAGGUUGCUGUUCUGUGUAAUGGUUAUAUGUGAAGUUUGCAGCUAGCAUAUAGUUAUAGUUGCUCGCUAAUAAGUCAUCGCUCUCUGUAUCAUAAAGCUCGCCUUAUGAGGUGAACCAUACGUAAAGCGCAGCCCGAUGCACUAAGCUCCCGUCAAGGGCGGAUUUAGGAGGGGGAAGGAUGUUCACCCGAACCCCCUUCACCGAAAAUUACACUGUAUAUGUAAGGUAAAAUCUAUAUUUUAUCUCUAUAUAUUAUGUUUUGAAUUCUCUUGACAUAGCCCACAAUAAUUGCUCAAUGGUCAAGGGGGUUUAAAAUCUUUGUGAGGUCACUAGUUUAAUUCCCACUGGGCACAACCUCUUUCAA